AGCCUAGAAAAAAGAAGAAGAGAAGAAUCUAGGAAAAAUUAGAAUUGGGACAAGAAAAUCAGACACAAAACAAUAAAGAGGCUGAUUCUGAAAAGCACAGAGAGUACAAGGACAAGAUAAUCAUCUGGAAGCCUCAAACCCUCUGGCACCUUGACCUUAAUCUUAGACUUUCCGGUCUCCAUGGCAGUAAAAAAUGAAUGUUUAUUGUCGAAUCUUCCCAGUGUAUUCAACUGUCUUCCUGAACAGACUAGAGCACAAGAGAGGGAAGAGAUGGAGGUGAUGGUGAAAAAUUACAGAGGCGAAAUAAAGGGAGAAGUUAUUUACUUGGUUUGCACACUACUGAAUAAAGACCGAAUACCUGCAACCUUUGCCUCAAACGCACACUUACACCACAUGAUAUGCAACUUACGUUUUCCCCACUGAGAUGUCAUGGAUCACGAAAGCAGCUGCCACCUGCUGCAUCUGGCUCCAAUGUUGUCUAGUUCCGCCUGGUAGAGCUUCCCAAACUCGGAUCUCUAUUCCGGAGGGCCAACCCUUCUGUACACUAGUUUCAUUCUCCCCAGGUGGUGAAUCAGUUUUCCCAAACACUGUCGACUGACUCAUCUGUCCUUUCCACUCUUUUUCUUUCCCCUUUUUAUCAUAUGGAGUAGUCUAUAUCAUUCUGACAUUUUCAAGAAGUUUGCAUUAGUGUGUUCUCUCCUUCCUCCUCUCCCCUCUCUUCCUUAUCACCUUAGAAACCUUCCCCUCAUCUCCUUUCCACUUGAGUAAUCUGUGCCAUUUUUUAAAAUAAUUUCUUUUAUUUCUGAGAUUAUAACAUAAUUACAUCAUUUCUCUGUUCUUUUUCCUCUCUCCAAACCCUCCCAUAUACCUCUCCAUGUUCUCUUUCAAAUUUGAAGCCAUUUUACAUUAAUUGUUAAUAUAUGUGUACAGUUAUAUACAUGUAAAUUCCUUAACAUAAUGUGAUACACCUAGAUAAUGUUACUUGUAGAUAUAUUCUCAGAAUGGUCAUUUCAGGUUUAUUUACCCACAUUCUUCUCUGUAGUAAUUUGCACUGCCAUCAGGAUUGAAUAGGUUUUCUCUUUCCCCACAGCCUUGCCAGCAUUUGUUGUGAGAUUUAUUGUGUAUAGUCACUCUGGCUUAGGUAACUAGGCAUCUGAAAGGAAUGUUGAUUUUUAUUUCCCUAAUGGGCAGGGAUGUUGAAUACUUUGUAAUAAUCUUGUGUUUCUUUUUUAUGGAACUGUGUGCUUCAUUAGGCCAUUUGUUCAUUGACAACUUAAUGUUCUUUUGAUCUUUAGCUUUUGUACUUAUUUGUAAUCUUGCACAUUAUGAAUA